AUUGAACGCUGGCGGCAGGCCUAACACAUGCAAGUCGAACGAGUGGCGGACGGGUGAGUAAUGUAUGGGAAACUGCCUGAUGGAGGGGGAUAACUACUGGAAACGGUAGCUAAUACCGCAUACCAUCGGAUGUGCCCAGAUGGGAUUAGCUAGUAGGUGGGGUAAUGGCUCACCUAGGCGACGAUCCCUAGCUGGUCUGAGAGGAUGACCAGCCACACUGGAACUGAGACACGGUCCAGACUCCUACGGUAGGCAGCAGUGGGGAAUAUUGCACAAUGGGCGCAAGCCUGAUGCAGCCAUGCCGCGUGUGUGAAGAAGGCCUUCGGGUUGUAAAGUACUUUCAGCGAGGAGGCGUUACUCGCAGAAGAAGCACCGGCUAACUCCGUGCCAGCCGCCGCGGUAAUAC
rnacentral:rRNA from 1 species